AGAUGUGAGGGUGAUCUGGCUGCGACAUCUGUCACCCCAUUGAUCGCCAGGGUUGAUUCAGCUGAUCUGACUGGCUAGGCGGGUGUCCCUUUCCUCCCUCACCGCUCCAUGUGUGUCCCUCCCGAAGCUGUGCGCUCGGUCGAAGAGGAUGACCAUCCCCAAUAGAGGAGGACCGGUCUUCGGUCAAGGGUAUACGAGUAGCUGCGCUCCCCUGCUAGAACCUCCAAACAAGUUCUCAAGGUCCAUUUGUAGGAGAACGUAGGGUAGUCAAGCUUCCAAGACUCCAGACACAUCCAAAUGAGGCACUGCAUGUGGCAGUCUGCCUUUCUUG
rnacentral:snRNA from 1 species